ensembl:lncRNA
AUGGAGAGAACGGCCCCUCAGGGCCCACGACUUCCAGCUGCUGGGCUCCCGUCUCGCUCACGGGCUCCACAGCAGAGACGCCGCUUCAGGCAGCAGAACAGAAUGAGUGUUUCUGACCGUCUGGCACCUGCAAACCCUCGAGUAGCAUCUUCCAGAUGUCCAUUAGUGAGCUUGUCUCCUCCUCUGUCCCUGUCGUCUCCUGUCAUCAAAAAGAAAGUCAUCCAAAUCCCAUCAUUUGACGAAAAGGGGCUCAUCUAUGAUAAACGCGACACAAAACCAAGCACUGGCAGAUCUUUCAUCCCGAUUGGUCCCUCCAAGACAUCCAUUCAACCCAAUUGGACUAAAUCAAGUGGUGAUUCACUGGGUCGCCACGGAAAUAGAGCUUCAACGCUCCCAAGAACCGAAUCCAAAGCACACAGCUCUCCGGCUCUCUCCGCAAAGCCCGGCGCCUCCCUCUGUCUCUCUCCAAAGACAGAUUCCUCUCCCACUCAUAAACCGAAGCCAAAGGAUUCUCUCCGUCCCCCCGCCUCACAGCUCCGCAAUCCUCCUCCAUCCCUGCACCAGCCGAAGCCCAGUGUGUCUCCGACUCUGACCGUCCCGACACCCAGACUAAGUCCAUCUCCGACUUCCCAGGAGACGAGUCUGGACAGCCGAGGAGGCAAGCAGCCGUCUCCCGUCGCUAAAGAGAGACAGGCUAGAUCGAUUGCCAUUUCGAAUGCUGGAGACGAGCCCAAGUUAGUCAAACGAGACAUUCUUGACCUAGAAGCUUUCCUGGGCUUUACACAUACCGCGCUGAUGAGAGCUCGCCCCAUGUCUCACAGCCAGACGUACUCUGAGCUCCAGAGACAAGCAGCCACGCAUCAGAACUUCGGCUUAUCGCAACUUGGUUUAAGUGAAAAGGGAAAUAUUGCAGAAGAUAAACCAGGGCCUCCGCCAGGGGGAAGAAGCAUCAUUUCAAUCCCUAAACCGAUGUCAAACAUCAAACAGCAGCAGGAACUUCUGCCAAGCGGUGCUGCAGGUACACGAGCAUCCCUCUCAGCGUGUGAGGGGAUUAGGUUUGCUCGUGUUUUUGAGAAGAAGUCUCUGCCGGCGUUUGAUGUGCCGGAUCCUCGGCCGAGUGCAGACUUCCCUCAGAGGAGGAAUCUCACCUCCAGUGAGCACUCCUAUGAACUCAAGUCUUCUGAGAGACGUGCAGCUUCACCAACAACUCCAAGAAUGUCCUUUUCUUCUUUGAACCAGUCACCCAAUGUGGAGAGCAGGAGAAGACGUUUUGACCUCAACGACGACACAAGAUUUUCGUCUCACGGCAAGAGUCCUGAAGAAGAAGACAACACGCGGACGAUAACAGGAAGUCCAUCUAAACUCUCUCAACAAACCAGUGCGUCUCGUUACUCAAAGUCUCCUCAGAACUACAGAUUCUGGUCGAAGGCUCCAGUCCCAGCGAGUCUGUCCGACUGUGUUUCAGUGGAUCACAGAUGCCAGUCAAGAGACAUCGAUUGUGAAACAGAAUCUCGUUGGUGUGCGUACAGAUCGACCCAAUUUAAGUUGGGCCCUCAGACACAGGAGACCUCCCGACCUGCUUCUGUGGACGACGCCACGUCAAAAUCAACGCAUUCAAAACCGGAUUUUAUCUCACACAGCCGGCCGGAUCCCAAACAAAACAAAAGCCACAAAGAGGUGACCUUUGGUGACCCGGGACUGAAUAAAACAGAUCUCUUUGAUCAUCACAGGGCGCCCGCAAAGCUACUAGAAUAUCCUCGAGAUGAAUACCGCCUAUUCGACACAAACAGUUUGGGCAUCAGUUCAAAAGGGGUCUCUGGCCCGCUGCGGCACACAGCGAGCCAGAGACCAGAAGAGACAACAACAGCUGCUUCGCCUCCGCUACCCAGUUACCCCCGAGCAGACCGGGCAUUUAUCAUGGAGGAUCCAGAGGACCCCUAUUACGUUACAAUGUAUUACCCUGGAUCAGUGUACGUGGGUGAGUACAUACCGAAAAACACUUGGAAGACUCUUACUGAACAAAGUCUGGAGAUCCCGCAGAGACAUGACAGACAUAGUUCGAUACGUUUCUGUCGAAGGGGGUGGUCAAAGGGGAUAGCAGGCGGAUUUAAGAUGUCAGUCCUUAUCAGUAGAGUAGCAGACGUGCUGAGGAGAGUUAGUUAG